GCAGUAGCCGCGGGAAUACAGAGGGUGCGAGCGUUAAUCGGAUUUACUGGGCGUAAAGCGUGCGUAGGCGGCUAAUUGAGUCGGAGGUGAAAUCCCCGAGCUUAACUUGGGAAUUGCAUUCGAUACUGGUUAGCUAGAGUGUGGGAGAGGAUGGUAGAAUUCCAGGUGUAGCGGUGAAAUGCGUAGAGAUCUGGAGGAAUACCGAUGGCGAAGGCAGCCAUCUGGCCUAACACUGACGCUGAGGUACGAAAGCAUGGGGAGCAAACAGGAUUAGAUACCCCAGUAGUCCCUGUCUCUUAUAA
rnacentral:rRNA from 1 species